UACGUAGGGUGCAAGCGUUGUCCGGAAUUAUUGGGCGUAAAGAGCUCGUAGGCGGUCUGUCGCGUCUGGUGUGAAAAUCCAGGGCUUAACCCUGGACCUGCAUCGGGUACGGGCAGACUAGAGUGCGGUAGGGGAGAUCGGAAUUCCUGGUGUAGCGGUGAAAUGCGCAGAUAUCGGGAAGAACACCCGUGGCGAAGGCGGCUCUCUGGGACGGUACUGACGCUGAGACGCGAAAGCGUGGGGAGCGAACAGG
rnacentral:rRNA from 1 species